rnacentral:rRNA from 1 species
UACGUAGGGCGCAAGCGUUAUCCGGAAUUAUUGGGCGUAAAGAGCUCGUAGGUGGUUUGUCGCGUUGUCCGUGAAAACUCACAACUCAAUUGUGGGCGUGCGGGCGAUACGGGCAGACUGGAGUACUGCAGGGGAGACUGGAAUUCCUGGUGUAGCGGUGGAAUGCGCAGAUAUCAGGAGGAACACCGGUGGCGAAGGCGGGUCUCUGGGCCGUAACUGACGCUGAGGAGCGAAAGCGUGGGGAGCGAACAGG